rnacentral:lncRNA from 1 species
UGGAAAACAGCGUUUUAAGCGAGUCCAUACCCUGGCUGACUUGUGAAAUACCUACAUUCUUGAAGCCUUUGUUUUUUACCUCAACUACCUGUCCUCUGGAAAUCAGAUCCGUGUCACGUGAGCGUCGGCCAGAGGUGACAACUCAAACGAGGGUCAUCCCCAGCGCAGAUAAUUCAGCGGGAAGGUGAGUCCGAUCUGUGUCUUUUGCUCGAUUCAUUUAUAUGCAAUAAAAAAGAGUAAUUGUCGGCUGAGGGAAAUGUUGAAUGAAAGACGGUUCCCGACAUUAAAUGGCGCUG